rnacentral:snRNA from 1 species
UAUUAAUCGGAUUUUUGAACUUGGAGUAUGGUGCUGGAGCUUGCUCCACCCUGCUCACGGGUUGUCCUGGUAUUGCAGUACCUCCAGGUUCGGCUCACGUUUC